rnacentral:lncRNA from 1 species
CAGGAGCAGUGCGUUGAGUCAGGCUGUUUUUUAUGAACACGAUAAAUAUGACAUUAGACACGGCAGCACAAGAUGUGCCCAUACUAACAGGCACAUUAACCGUCCUGGCUUUCUUUUAAUCUAAACAGGAAUUCAUGUAGAAGCCCAGCGGUGUUCCUUAGGGGCCGUCCAAUCCUCUUGCUACUCGUCAGUUCGUGCCGGUGGGCUGCUGGAUGCUCCAAGAGUAAUAGAGUUUCACUGACAUUGAAGAAAUCUAGUGUUGCUCGAGUCAAAACUUUGCCCGUUGACACCGUUUUCGAAGCGCCCAUUUACAAAGAAUUCUCUAUGGUGCUUCUUCCACAUCACAGCCCCGCUAGAUUAACCCUUUCCACGAGGAUGGUACAGACCAGACUUUAACUGUUGGGCCGCUGCAACGGCACCGGACUUUGUAGGAUCUCUUGGAAGAGCAGAAGCUCUAACAAAAGCCAGCGAAUGCGCUGGCUGAUUUGAAAGAGUCAUUCCGCAUGCGGUUUCUCGACUUGCAGGUCCCAGCGACGGCGGGCGUGGCCGACGGAAUGGAAGGUGACAGGACCGAGAACCAGGAGUGUCCACCUCUGAGGAUGAGCGCCUCAUCGCGGUAAAUUGCUGUCGGAAGAAGCGAGUUUUUUUCCCUUCGUCCUCUGCUUCCUCGGCCAACUGUUCUUGCCUCUCCAGCUCUUCCAUAACAGCCCGAAGACCUUUGGCGCGAACCGCGUCGGUCACCAUUCCACUCUUCAACGAUGGAAUUCCCUGUCCUUUCGUCACCUCGGAUUGCCGACAAAAAGCGCUUCCAACACUUUUGUGAUAAACCACCCGGCCCCCGCCUGAAGCGCCGGUUCCAGCGCUUCUACAAUACUCACUGCUCUUUCCUCGCAGAGACGCCAUCAGUCCUCUCGACAUGACGGAGGUGCCUGUAUACCACGAGGACCCCGUCCGGAGGGUUGUGGCCGCUGUGAAGCUUUUCUCAGAUCCAUACCACCGUGAAUCGCCACCAGUCUCUUCGCCUGAAGAGUCAUCUUUCUCGAAUUCCAAAGUUCCACGCGCCAGAACCCCCCCAUCGUCUUCACCAGCCACAGCUGCCAUGCCACCGCCAGCGAAACUCCGGGGAGCCCGACGGGAAGCAGAGGAAACGCGGGUGCAUCCUCGCGAAUUCAGAGAUGCCAGAACGGAAGCCGAUGGCGCUGAGGUUAAGUGGCCCUUCCCGGGAAGGCCGCCUCCGUUGGUUUUCCCUUCCUUGCUUUCCUCACAUAAGUCGCAACAUCGCCAGGCAUCAAGGCGGGCGCCUCUAUUGGAUUCAUCUGAACACAGGACCUUUGCUGCUUUCUCGUCUGCCUGACGGUUUCGCGAAACCACACCGACGCACCACGGUCUCGCCGAAAAACUUCAGAAUGCACGCGCGCCGGCAACCCGUUUCUUCGCAGUACUUCCGAACGUCUUUCAGAGAUUGAAGGUCCUUCUGAUAGCGCCUCUCCAUGUGUUCCAGCCUCGCCUUCUGAUCUUCGACGAAGUCCGGAUCUUCUUCUUCCUCGCCUUCCUGUUGAUUUCCUGCGCCUUUCUUUGUCCGAGCAUUCGGCUUCCGCCCUUUGCUAGAGUAUAGCUUCAGCUGAGAGAAGGUGUAAUCCAUGAUGUACCGAAGGCUAUCGAAAUUGCGUGGAGAGUAGUAAAGCAGCGCAUGCGCGGGACGCCCGUCUCGACCGCAACGUCCUGAUUCCUGGUAGUAGCCUGAUACGAGAAAAGAACUCAGUGAAAGCGAUGAUGCAAAUACGUUGAAAUGACCGAACGUGGAACACCACAACAGAUAUGGAAUCGCUGACCGAAUUACGAUUGCUCUUCGAAAUUCUUCGUUUGUCGUCAGUGGUUUCCGGGGUUCAUUCAUCGGGGUAAAUACCUAAGAUAUAUGCUAUCUGUCGGAUCGACACAGAACAGAAGACCUUGAAAUCUGACAGGUUCCACGACGAAUCUGCGCACAGAAGCUUUACGGGCCGACAGCUGGACCGUGGCACUGCAUGCGAGUAUUGGCAGGUCACAAAAAGGGCAAAAGGAAGAUCUCUGCGCCUUGACAAGGUCCUCCAACAUGAAAAAACGCCACUCCGCACGAGAGCGUAGACGCCCUUGUCUUCAUCGGUGGUAGAAAGAACUACGAUUCUGUGCGAGAGAGUAGGACGCUUUGUCCUCAUCGUCGCUAGACCACACGCCAAAGGUCACAUGGUUUGUGACGUGACGUGUAAACCCGUGAGACCGCGAGACUACCAGCGUUCCUUCGUUUGGAAAGAGUGACAGAUCUUCGUUGCCUGUUUCGCCCCUGCCUCGUCCUUUGCCUUCUCGGGCCUUAGUGGCUUUUCCUCUGUGUCCCUUCCGCCUCUUCCACAGCCACUUUCAUUGUCUGGUUCGACUCUCCCGCCUCUGUUGCGACGCUGGUACGUACAUCACGAGAUCACAUCGACUGGAACCGAUCCACUUUGAUACUGAAUGAAGUACUUCAGGGCGGUAACGAAGUCGAAGCAAGCCAGCCGAUGGCAAGAAGAGGCCGCGAAAACCCUUUGACUAUGAUGCCGCGAGUCCCGAUAAACGACAGUUAUGCUCAAACUGAUGCGUCAAGUGCGCACAAGCUCUCUGUGGUCCUCGUUGGUCCAAAGACG